rnacentral:rRNA from 1 species
CCUACGGGAGGCAGCAGUGAGGAAUAUUGCACAAUGGGGGAAACCCUGAUGCAGCGACGCCGCGUGAGUGAAGAAGUAUUUCGGUAUGUAAAGCUCUAUCAGCAGGGAAGAAAAAAGACGGUACCUGACUAAGAAGCCCCGGCUAACUACGUGCCAGCAGCCGAGGUAAUCCGUAGGCGGCAAGCGUUAUCCGGAUUUACGGGGUGUAAAGGGAGCGGAGACGGUUUGGCAAGUCUGAAGUGGAGGCCCCGGGCUUAACCCUGGGAUUGCAUUUGAGACUGUUAGACUAGAGUGCUGGAGAGGUAAGUGGAAUUCCUGGUGUAGCGGUGAAAUGCGUAGAUAUUAGGAGGAACACCAGUGGCGAAGGCUGCUUACUGGACAGUAACUGACGUUGAGGCUCGAAAGCGUGGGGAGCAAACAGGAUUAGAUACCCCAGUAGUC